GCUGUGAAAACGUCGUAAAAAUACUUUCAAUAACGAGGUCAAAUGAUUUUUUUUUUUCAGGGCAAUUAAAAAGUACUAGUCUACUUCUUCCGCAUAGGCUUUUUAAAUUGCAUGUGACCUUGCUAGCGAAGAAAUACACUUUUACGAGUCUUUAGAAAUGAGAGCGAAAAAAAGAACUGGCAACUUCUACAACUGUUGCACGCCCGUCAUCUCAUAAGUGCGUAGUAUAAAUCGUGAUAGUAUAUAUAUAUAUAUAUACACACAUAAAAAGAAGUUGCCUGGAUUCUCUCUCCUUGAACGAGAAAAAGAGGACACACACGAGUCUUGGCUCGGAUUGAUUUCUUCUAGGGCGUGUGUGUGUAAAAGGGGGUUCUUUUCUUGGGCGAAGGGCCAUCUUUCUUUGCCGAGCUUUUUUUUUUUCCUUAUUGAUUGGAUCCCAGAGUAGCCCUCCCACCACCCUACUACCUUGAACCCCCCGCCCCUCCACAACUCUCCUCUUUUUUUUUUUUUUUUUUGCUAGCGCGUGUCCUUAGGCCUAGAAAAAGAAGAGUGACCGUCACUCAGCCUCUUUGGCUCCACCCAUCUUCUGACUAAAAAGAAGUCUACCCUCUACUUUUCGGGUCACCGCGGGAGAUCUUGUCUCUCUCCCAGCCCUCCGCGAUGGAGGGGUUUUACCACCCCAUCUGAUGGGGGAAAAGAAAAAGGGAGGCAAAGUUGCCUCCCUCGCUUUUCUCGGUUGCGGUUGGCCGAGACGCAACUUGGAAGAAAAGAACUGUGGCGCCGCGCGCGCCUUCUUUUCCCCCCAUCAGAUGGAAAGAUCCACCACCCACUGACCGUCACCCAACGGGUGGAAUGGGGGGCCUUCUUUCCCCUAUGGUCAAGAACGUUCUUCUUUUGUUUCGAUUCUUUUUUAUAUUUCCCUCUUCGUUCUUUUUGGGGGGUUGUAAAAGAAAAAUAACACAAGAAGAAACGACGACCUGACGAUGACACGACAUUUUUUGAACCCUCGGAAUUAGUUAUUUUACCUGAGACGUUCUUCUGCAAGGCGCAAUAGAAAAGAGACGAAAUCGACGUCGCCAUUGUAGCCGAGUCGCGUUUUGAGAUCGGCCCAGUGGCGGGCGUUGUUCUUGCCUAUAUAGAUGGUGCGGGCGGGAUCGGUCGACGCCGGAUACGGAUACGGGUAACCACCUUUGGGUGGUCGACCUUUUCUCGGUCGCAUAAUCUGCCCAUCGGGACCGAUGGCGGCCGCUGCUGGCAUUUUUUACAUGUGUGGUGGUAUGACCUAAUAAAAGGGUGGGGACACCUGCUGCUGACCAAAAAAUUGAACAAAAAAAGAUGGAAAUGUUGAAUGCCAAAACUUCUUGUGUUGGACUUGUGUUGGGGGUCUAAAUUUACAAUGGCAACAAGACACCUUUAGAAAAAAAAGUCUUUGCGUCGGGUGUUCUCCAAGGUUAACCGAGAGAGCCCCCGAAGACGACGUCUUUUGCUCGUACAUACACAUUCAGAAAACGGCGAGAAUGAGAGAAUGACGAAAAACAAGUGGAUGGAAGAAAAACCAGAUGAAAAUAAGGAUGUCCUGCUGGCCACGGGGAGGAGGGGAAUCUACGCACACACACAUGCAUCUAUUUUCAAAAGAAAUGGCGUCUCUUGUUUUCAUUUUAAAAACUCCCGUCAAGUGCGUAUAUAUGUGUGUCUGGACACUCUUUAUACUUUUUACGUCAUCUUUUUUAAACGAUUCUUCGUGAAUAAAAAGAAGAAACCCAAUUUUCGUUGAUGGGCUCCAUACACGUCGGUACGUCGAACAUUUCCCGCGGGAUUCAAAAUGAAAAAGUUUUUUUUUUUCUCUCUACAAGAUGAUUGGGUGAGAAUCAAGUUCAUUGUUGACUCUUAAAAAAGUCUGAACGCGUAAAAAAUAAAAAGAAGCCUCAGCCGCCCGAGUCAGCAACUCCCCCCCAUUUUCACCCACCCAGGGCCCUCCUGCCGGGAGUCGGCCAUGUUCUUUCUUUUCCCCUCUCUUUUUCUCUCAGCAUCCGCUCUUUUUUUUUCUCUCUUCUUCUUCUUCUUUUUCGUCCUGAUAGGCUCUCCCCCUCCAUCCGUCGUCUGUGUUAAGAGCCUCGUACGUGUGUGCAGUGGAAUCAACUCCCCCUCCUCUUCUUUUUUUUUUCCUUCAUCAUCGGCGCAGGGUCCAGGGAGACUGGCCCGUCCGAUCGAUGCCGUGAACCUUUUUUCCUUUCCUUUUUCCUUCGUUUUCACCAACCCUCUUUUACGCAUCCUCCCGAUUUUUUUUUUUUUGCUUUCGUAAAACAUUUUAAAAAAUCUCGUAGUAAAAAUUGUUGAGAUAAAACAAACGCGCAGAAAAUAAAUGCGUUGUUACAUAA
rnacentral:lncRNA from 1 species